rnacentral:tRNA from 4 species
GCCGGAGUAGCUCAGCUGGCCAGAGCAACCGCCUUGUAAGCGGUAGGUCACGGGUUCGAAUCCCGUCUCCGGCU